rnacentral:rRNA from 1 species
AUUGAACGCUGGCGGCAUGCCUUACACAUGCAAGUCGAACGGUAAGGCCCUUCGGGGUACACGAGUGGCGAACGGGUGAGUAACACGUGGGUGAUCUGCCCUGCACUUCGGGAUAAGCCUGGGAAACUGGGUCUAAUACCGGAUAGGACCCUGGGAUGCAUGUCCUGGGGUGGAAAGCUUUUGCGGUGUGGGAUGGGCCCGCGGCCUAUCAGCUUGUUGGUGGGGUGAUGGCCUACCAAGGCGACGACGGGUAGCCGGCCUGAGAGGGUGACCGGCCACACUGGGACUGAGAUACGGCCCAGGCUCCUACGGGAGGCAGCAGUGGGGAAUAUUGCACAAUGGGCGCAAGCCUGAUGCAGCGACGCCGCGUGAGGGAUGACGGCCUUCGGGUUGUAAACCUCUUUCAGCACCGACGAAGCGCAAGUGACGGUAGGUGCAGAAGAAGGACCGGCCAACUACGUGCCAGCCGCCGCGGUAA